AGCCCGCCGCGGGACGCAACAGGGGAAAGAAAGAGGAAGCUCCGCAACCCGAGACCCGACAACUGCGGCGACGCCGCCGGGGCGGGGGCAGCGGCAGAAGCGGAGGCGGGAUGAAGAGGGGAGAAGGGCGGCGGCGGCGCCUGCGGCACGGUGACCGACCGGUGCAGAGCCCUCAGGUCGCGCUGAGCCCUCAGCGGGCGGGAGGACAGCAGCCCCCGAGCAGCCGCCGUUCCAGCAGCGACUCCUCGCGCCCUUUGCGCGCGCGCCCUGGCUCCCUUCCCCGCCUCCCCUGGAUCCGGGGAACGUUCGCCUAGCGCGCGCGCUGCCCCCGCCUGAGCCAGUGGUGGCUGCAACUGCAGCAGCAGCAACGGCUUAACCCCAGUGCAUCUCACUCGCUUAUUAGCUCUCCUUCUCCACCCCCUCCUACUUUUCUCCUCCUGCUGCCAACCCACCGGGAGGGCUGGCUGUCAGUCGGCUUCCCACUCCCCGCCCUGCGAGGCGGAGUUCGGCCACAGGCUGCCCCUUCAUCCGCACGUACACACCCGUACACACCCGUACACACCCCAGGAGAAAGAGGGAGCCUGAACCACCGCCCAGAUCUGGUUCCUCAUUGGCUCCGGGCUUUGGCCUCGUUUUCGUUUCCCCCGCGAUUUGACCGACUGGGAGGCGCGUGCUCCCCUGAGCCAGACCCAGGAGGCUUUGGAGCUAAAGCUGCGUGAGGGGCGCGCGCCCCACCUAAGGUACGCAACCCCCGGAUCCUCUGGAUCUCCAGAGUUCUGUGCUGAUCGCUGUAUUGGGACCUCCAGCCCUUCCCCAGAGAGUGCAACUCCAGAAGGUUUCGGUCUCACCUCCAUUUGUGCCUGCUGUAAUACUUGAACUGAGGAGCCAGGGACUUCUCUGAUAUGAAGCAUGAAAGGCAGCUACUCUAUUGUGAAUGGGAAAAAGAAGAUUUCGAGACAUCACUUUUACAUAGUGCAUUUACAUUUACAUUUACAACCAGUCUUUACAACAACCUGGAUGAGACAUUGGGUUCAGCAGUGGUGUGGCUGGUGGCAGCUUGCUGGGCGUCUUGGCGUGCUUGCAGUUCUUGUCUGGGUCUGGCAGUGAGCAUCCUUGGUGUGGUGACUGAGAGAAGCUCAAUAGCAUGGGUCAGCAUUUGACUUCACGCGGUGAAAACAGUGACACGUGGACUUCGAAGUUCCUCCAGAUCAGAAAAACUUCUCUCUUAUCUGAAUAUGCAGGAGAGAAAUCUGGAGAGUCCAGAAAAGAUACCUGAAAGAGAUCUGAGUCUGGUCCUGGAGGGAAAAAGUUAAACAAAGGCAGGGUAUCUUCCAUCACCUUCCUUUUGUCACCUAACUUUGAACCUCAUAAACUUAUGUCAAAAAAACAUUUGUUGUAAGCUUUUGUUUUUUCUUUGAUUCAUUUACAUUUAAAUAAACCCUUUAGGCUGGUC
rnacentral:lncRNA from 1 species